rnacentral:sRNA from 1 species
AUGUUGCGUUAGUGAUUGAAGUGGAAAUCCUUUUUUAGAACGAAUGCAUGAGAUGCAUUGUGCUAAAAAAGAUUGCAACGUAAAGCGCGGCCGCAG